CCCUGAGUUAGUUCGAGGCAGAGCUGGUACCAGAACCGGGGCUGUCUGCUUCUAGAACCCAGUAUCAAGAGCAAGCUCAUUUUCCAAAGACCACACACUGCUUUUUCCUGGAGAUUCGACACCGGGGUUAAGUGGUUUGUAAUGUUAACAAUUUCUCCCUAACAAUUUUGGCUGAAUUUUACCUUUCCCUUCAUUCCAUCACCGGUCGGUCUGCUUACCAGAGACGCUUCCCCUCCCCAAUAACACACACAAAACCCAUUAGGCCCUAUUAUCUGACACCAGUUGUAUUUAAACCUCACAAGGGAGAAAAGUGUGUUUUUACGCGUGGAGAUUUUGUUUUUUCCUUUCUGUUCUUUCCCGGGGCAGGUGGGGGGAGGGGCGAAUCUCAACGCUUUUUCUGAACUUAGACAUCGUUGUGAGUUUGGAGCCCAGUUGGCAGAGGACAUGGAUAAACACACCUUAUUUGUUUUCUGUGGAAGGGUCUCAGCUGGUUUUCCUCCCCAAAUGAAUUCUCUUACCCUUGAAGAAUGACCCAAGCAGAGAAAUUUCCCAAACAUCUGAAAUCUGAGAAUUCGCGUCUGGAAUCCACGAGGCUCAUGGUUUCCAGAUGGAGAGGCCGGAAGGAGAGGAGGCGGAGGCGGGGAGGAAGGAGGGUGGGCGGAUAAAAGGCAGGGGAAGCCUGAACUCUGGAUCACUUAUGAUGGCCUUGUGAACCGGGCGCGGGUUCCUACUUGCUCCGCCAACUUCACCGUUUGACGAUGUGCCAGGCCCUACCUAAGGAAGGCAGCAGUCUGCACGUCCUCGUGAGACUGCUCCUGUGAUUAUUAGGAAGGAAGUUAUCGUGACAUUGUCAUUUCUGAGGGAAGCAACGGACCUCGUAGCACAGUAUAAAAGCAAGCUUAUGGCUAUCAGGAGGAGCACAGAUACUCCAGAUGGGUUUUCUCACCAUCCCAGAAAUGGCGAAAGACAGAUACUCCUUACAAAUUUUGGCUUCUUUACACCACGAAACCAAGUGCAGCAACGGACCCCAGCACUCCACUGGUGUUCCCACCACCACCGCCACUGCCACCAAGCCGAAGAGCAAUCUUCUUCCUCUGUCAUGGCUCUUCCCAUUUGGAAUAGGCUGAGUUGGAUACCAGGAUAUAGCCAUCCACCGGGGUCCAGAAGGUCCCAGAAGGCCGAAUGUGUGGGGAGAAACCACACAGAGAAAAAUUAUUUCCUAACUAUGCCUGUAAUCUCUAGAUGUCCUAAUCAAAGCGGUGAGGCAGCGAAGAGCCAGAGAACCACACUUGGACUCAGCGUUUUCGAGAGCCAAGCGAAGUAUUCAAGCUCUCCCCUUAAUCUGGUCUCCUGGGACGUGUCAAUGUCUAAUUCCACUCUGGCUUGGGGGAGAACACAAGCCGCGCUGAGCCCGUCCUGUAAUGGCGUAACUUCCCCAGACCCCUCAUUUCACCCGGAGGUAGGAAAGGAUACUGCCUGCUUCCACAAGCCGAGCAAGGCCCAGAAUUUAUGA
rnacentral:lncRNA from 1 species